rnacentral:rRNA from 1 species
UACGGAGGGUGCAAGCGUUAUCCGGAUUUACUGGGUUUAAAGGGUGCGUAGGUGGGUAAGAAAGUCAGUGGUGAAAUCUUCGGGCUUAACCCGGAAACUGCCAUUGAUACUAUUUAUCUUGAAUACUUUGGAGGUAAGCGGAAUAUGUCAUGUAGCGGUGAAAUGUUUAGAUAUGGCAUAGAACACCAAUUGCGAAGGCAGCUUACUACACAGUUAUUGACACUGAGGCACGAAAGCGUGGGGAUCAAACAGG